CUCACUGGGAAUCAAACCACCACCUUCUGAGCCACCUCGGCCAGGGCAGGUUUGGCUUUUUAAUGGGAGAAGGGGCCCAAGAGACAAAUGUGUGAAGGGCCCAUGAAACUCAUCAUGCUGCCCUGAGUAAGCAGGACUUGGACACAGAUCUGGUCUCCGCUGAAGGCCAGGGCGGUCAGAGAAACGCCCAGCCUCUCCCCCAGGAGCACAGAAACGCCCAGGGCAGUUCUGAGAGCUGAGUGCGCGCCUGUCCCUGGGAAGGGACACUCGGCCUGCUGGCCGCUCUCCCUGGUGGGCAAACUGCACGGGCUCAACUCCUGGCCUAAAGCAGCCAGCGCUGGAGCAGCCACCAACGGCACCAUAACUGAGGCCCCACCAGGAGGUCGGCCUCCUUUCCCUCCACGUCUCGGAGGAGACAGCGUAGACGGAGGUAGUGACCGUGCUCAUGGAAGGGGCGUGUUGCUUUUAAUGAAGGCGUCACCAGAGUUGGAAAUCCACGCUUGAGCUGUGCGAGUUCAGGAUUGCACAACCUGAGGCAGAAACCAUGAAAUGAGAACAGAGGCCUGAGGGAUGAGCAGUCCUGGGUUCCUUCCAGGUGAGCAGCGCUGUUGCCCAGCAGAAGCAGCAACCCCGGGGCAGUGCUCAGACCUUCUCUCUCACCCCUGCCCCUCACUCUUCCCCAAGGACACCGAUGGAGGAAACAGUGGGAGAGACCUGUCUGGGACAGUAGACUUCGGAGCAUAAACGCCACCAAGAAGCGUCCUUCAUUCCAUUUCCUCUUUGCCAGGACUGCCUGGGCCCCUGCAGGGACUCGCCCUCCCAGCCUGCGCUGAGAGAUGGAGCUGAACGCAUUCCGAAGAGCAGUGAAGACGCGCGUGAGGAAAGUUCUAGCACAUGGCUUCCAGCAGUGACCACCUGACAGCACCCUCUUCCUCUGUGAGUUUCCUGAAGUGACCAACGUGACUAUGAUAAGAACAAUCACCGAUCGGGUACUUCCUACCUGCCAGCGCUUACGGUGGCAUUUCACCGAAUUAUCCGAACAGCCCAAUGAGGUCUUACUGUUCUUGUCAACCUUGGUUUCAUAGACUGACCGAGGGAGUAUGUGACUCAAAGUUUCGUGACUAAUAAAAGUGGAUUCCAAC